CUGCUCGCUUCCGCAGCACGUAUGCCAAAAUCGGAACCACGCCCAGAAGAUUAGCAUGGCCCCUGCACAAAGAGGACACACAAAUUCUUGAAGCAUUUCCUGUUUUU